AGAGUUUGAUCCUGGCUCAGGAUGAACGCUAGCGGCAGGCUUAACACAUGCAAGUCGAGGGGUAUAGUAGCAAUACUAGAGACCGGCGCACGGGUGCGUAACGCGUAUGCAAUCUACCUUUUGCAGAGGGAUAGCCCAGAGAAAUUUGGAUUAAUACCUCAUAGUAUAAUUGAAUGGCAUCAUUUAAUUAUUAAAGUCACAACGGCAAAAGAUGAGCAUGCGUCCCAUUAGUUAGUUGGUAAGGUAACGGCUUACCAAGACUACGAUGGGUAGGGGUCCUGAGAGGGAGAUCCCCCACACUGGUACUGAGACACGGACCAGACUCCUACGGGAGGCAGCAGUGAGGAAUAUUGGACAAUGGGCGCAAGCCUGAUCCAGCCAUGCCGCGUGCAGGAUGACGGUCCUAUGGAUUGUAAACUGCUUUUGCACAGGAAGAAACAACGCUACGUGUAGCGUCUUGACGGUACUGUGAGAAUAAGGAUCGGCUAACUCCGUGCCAGCAGCCGCGGUAAUACGGAGGAUCCAAGCGUUAUCCGGAAUCAUUGGGUUUAAAGGGUCCGUAGGCGGUCUUAUAAGUCAGUGGUGAAAUCUCCCCGCUCAACGGGGAAACGGCCAUUGAUACUGUAGGACUUGAAUUAUUAGGAAGUAACUAGAAUAUGUAGUGUAGCGGUGAAAUGCUUAGAGAUUACAUGGAAUACCAAUUGCGAAGGCAGGUUACUACUAAUGGAUUGACGCUGAUGGACGAAAGCGUGGGUAGCGAACAGGAUUAGAUACCCUGGUAGUCC
rnacentral:rRNA from 1 species